AUUGAACGCUGGCGGCAGGCCUAACACAUGCAAGUCGAACGAGUGGCGGACGGGUGAGUAAUGUCUGGGAAACUGCCUUAUGGAGGGGGAUAACUACUGGAAACGGUAGCUAAUACCGCACACCAUAGGAUGUGCCCAAGUGGGAUUAGCUAGUUGGUGGGGUAAAGGCUCACCAAGGCGACGAUCCCUAGCUGGUCUGAGAGGAUGACCAUCAACACUGGGACUGAGACACGGCCCAGACUCCUACGGGAGGCAGCAGUGGGGAAUAUUGCGAAAUGGGCGCAAGCCUGAUGCAGCCAUGCCGCGUGUAUGAAGAAGGCCUUCGGGUUGUAAAGUACUUUCAGUGGGGAGGCGUUAACUGCAGAAGAAGCACCGGCUAACUCCGUGCCAGCAGCCGCGGUAAUAC
rnacentral:rRNA from 1 species